CAAACCUCUUAUUAUAUUUAUAUUUUAUUUUAAAGCAAACUUAUCUGCACAACUUUUGGGCUGAGCAAAUGAGAUUGAGUAUGCAUAUUUACAUUACUUGUGGACCAUCAUUCAGCACAGAAUUGUGUCUUUACAUGUACUGAUUUUUGAAAGAAAUAAGUAUGCUUAGGUCUUCAUUGGGUUGUAACCAUCAAGUGCAUUCUGUAUGCAUGACUAUUUAAAAGUAAGCCCCCACUGGAUUAAAAAAAUAAGAAUGCAUAGGAUUAUCACAUCAGAGUUUUUCUAUUUGCUAUUAAUUUUUAUUAUUUUGUGUCCUUUCAUCUGCAGUUCACCUAAAAGUAUUUUUAAUCAGCUGGCUUAAAAUGGAAAGAUAUAAUUUAAUUGAGCAUACAUUUUAUUUCAUUCAAACCAGAUAUUGCAAAGGACUGAAAACAAAGCACAAGCAUAUCUGCUUUUACAUUAUGUCAUUAAAGUUUAGAUGCUGGAAACAAAAUGUCACAGUUCUGACGUUACAUUAUUAUGUGAGUUUCAUUCUACUGUAUCGGCAUCUACACAUUUAAUUGUACCUUUAAGCUCCUUAACACUAGCUAAAAAGUUCAUGUUUGAAUUAUUCUUGAAAAAAUAUUAAAAAGUGUUAUAGAUUCACAUUCUCAAACAAUGUGGGCCACACAUACACUUACUAUUAUUACUUUAACACAUUGAUUCCAACCCUACUUCCUUUUGUAUGUAUAGUGCCUUUCUGACUUGCAGCCCCAUAUCAAUCGCCAUUUUAAACUCAGGAAAGUUAACUGGUUUCUUACAGUGUGGGAAGGAGGUGAAAAUAGAUGUUAAAUCUUUGGACUGUGAUGACUUAUAAAAAGAAAAAGACAGAAACUAAUUUUACAACAUCUCAAGUUCACUUCUGCAGUAUAACUUUCUCAUUCUCUCCUUCCCUCUGCACCCAAUUGUUCGGCUUUAAAAUGUGUUCCUCAGAAGCAUAUUUUCAGGAUACAGAAAGGGCAGCAAUGUGCAGACGGAGUUGUCCCUUUCCCUGUUCCAAUGAUAGAAACCCUUCCAUCAUUGGAAAAAAAACUACAUUCGUUUUGAUGAAACAGCAUGACCUCACCUUUAAAAACUCUAUUCAUUAAUCUCUAUUGAAAGUUCCUAUGGCAUAUUUCUCCUGCCACCAUUUUUCUUACUUUAAUAAAUGCUAGAAAUGUGAAUAUAUUUACACAAUUACUGAAUGUGUAAUUUUCUUUGUAAUUAUACAAACUUUUGAAGUUAAAAGUGUGUUUCUGUGAUUUUAAGAAAUGUUGAUGAAACAUUAAGUCCUGAAAAGAAUCUGGACUUUUUAAUUUUUUUGUAGAAAAGAUAGCAUUUUAUGCUUAGGAAAAAGUAUUUUGUUUUGUAGAAAACAGAACAAACCCUAAUUGACAGCAUUUUCUGUGCAGCAAACAAGUGUUUUUAAAUAUGGAUUUUUUUCUGCACAUAUUGUAUUUUCUCUAUUGAAAAUGCUGUUUCCUGUAAAGAACUACACAUUUUACGCAAAGUGUAAAUAUUUUAAAAGCAAAUUGCACAUUUUGAAGUCUUUCUUGCAAUGAUAAAAAUGCUAAAAUUGCUCAAUUUUUCCUUUGAUAGUAAAAUUAGUGAACAAUUCUGCCCCUUAUAACUGCUUUUUUCAAAUAAAAUACUGUUAUUUUUACCGAAGUUUGAGUAUAACAAAAUGAACUCAUUUGCUCCUUCUCUUAAAAAAGCACACACAUGCAUACACAGGGACACAUAUAAGGAGAUUGGAAACAUUUGCAUCACUUUUAGAAUUAACCACAUGAUGUUGCUUUGGAAUUGCUUUGGACUUGAACUCCCACAAUUCCUAACAGCUGGUAGGCUGUUAGGAAUUGUGGGAGUUCAAGUCCAAAACACCUGGAGGGCUAAAGUUUGGCCAUGCCUGUUGUAAACCAUGUUUUGAAACCUGUGUUUUCAGAAACAUCAUAUUUAAUAUUAAUCGGUGUGUUCUGGUUAUAAGAAAAGAAUGAACAAUGGUUAAUUGAAAAGUAAAUGAAUAUGAUCUCCUUGCAGCUCCAGGGGAGGAACACUCAAUCAUGACCCAUACUUCAAUGUUCAAUUACAUUUUAAUGAAUCAAUUUUUUUAUUUUAUACUGAAAAAAUGUUCCUACAAGUUAAUAAGAAAGCAUUUUACACAGAUAUGCAUUUAAGAUAUGUAGAUGACACCAUUCUACAAGCAGAAAAUAGCAAAGACUUGUAAUGAUUACUGGAGAAAAUCAAGAAAGAAAAUGCAAUGGCAGUUUUACAAUAGAAUAUUAGGAAAACAACAAUAAUGGCCACAAAUUAUUAACGUAGCUUCAAAGAAGAUGAUGAAGACAUUGACAUAGUUCAAGAUUUCACAUACCCUGGUUCAGUCACUAAUCAAAAUGGAGGCUGUAGUCAAGGAAUCAGAAAAAGACUAAGAGUUAGGAGAACAGCUAUGAAGGAACUAGAUAAGAUCUAGAUGUUUCAGUAUAUAUAAUUGAAUAUUAGAGUUAGGAUUGUCCAUUCUAUCAUAUUUCCCAUUUCUAUGUAUCUUUGUGAAAGCUGGACAGUGAAGAAAGCUGAUAGGAAGAAAAUAAACACAUUUGAAAUGUGGUGUUGGUGAAAUGUUUUGCUGAUACCCUGGACAAAUUAACCUGAACUCUCCCUAGAGGCCAAGAUAACUAAACUGAAACAGUUGUACUUUGGCCAUAUCAUGAGAAGACAUGACCUACUGCAAAAGAAUGCUUGGCAAGAUAGAAGGCAGUAGGGAAAGAGGAAGACCACAUUUCAGAUGAAUUAACUCAGUCAAGGAAACUACGACCAUGAGAUUUCAGCAGUAUUGUUGAUCAAAUCAUUUGAUUGAAGUUGAAGAAUUGGAGGCAUUUAACAUCAACAAAUGAUUCACUCUCAGUACAACGGAAACCUGAAUAGACAGAACUAGUAGAAAAUAGUUAUUUGCAGAUACAAGCUCAAUAGCAAUGGUUUUCAACCUGGGGUCCCAGGAUGAUUUUGACCCUCAACUCCCAGAAAUUCUAACAGUUGGUAAACUGGCUGGGAUUUCUGCAGGUUGUAGGCCAAAAACCUCUGGGGACCCCAGAUUGAGAGCCACUGUUCUAUAGGAAGGGCUGAAAAACAUAUAUUGUAGUUAAUAUUGUUAAUUAUGUUAAACAGGUUACAAAUUCACACAAUGGCAUUUGCUGAUAAUAGCAGCCCUAGACCAAUUUAGUAAUAGGGAAGUCUAUCUUCAACCAAAAAUACUCCAGGUGAUAUUGGAACAGAGUGAGAUACUGUCUGGUAACUUGUUAAAGAAUAGGAAAGAGAGUAGGGAUAAGUAAAUGGUUCUCACAGUGGUGUAGUAGCCUAAGGGUAUUGAUACCCAUACUUGUAACUUAUUUAAAAAGAUUGUGGAGUAUGAACAGUGAGGUGGACAAGUUUGCAAAUGACAUUAAAUGAGCAAAAUGAACAUCACCUUUUCAUGGAAAGGUUACAGCACUUGGGGCUAUUUAGUUAGACGGCAAGUGAGAAACCGCUACAAAAGAGGGAUACAAAAAUAGAACAUUGUGUCAGAAAAGUAAGUCGUUCUUACAUAAUACUACAGAAGACUGGAUGUGUUCCAUCUUGUGUUUCUCUCCCCUUGAAAUGAUUUUAGUGUAUGCAAUUCUGUUAACUUUAAAAACACUGAGAAGAACCAGAGCCUGAGCAAAAGAGAGUACCCUCUUCUAUUCACUAAUUCUCUCAUUACGUUUUUUUAGUGAGAUGAGUUAUCAAGUUGGUUUAUAAAAAGUUAUUUGAACAAAUAUAAACAUAUCUCAUUUCAUAAACCUGUGAAAUGAUGUUUCAUUGAAUGUAUGAAUGUGCUACAUAAUGGGAUUAACUCAUCUUUCGCUCAAUUAAUAGUUUCCUUUGUUUUUAAAACUGACAUAUAUUUAUGUUGUCAGAUAUUGUUAAAAUCACAUUUAAAGCCAUUCAUUCUCAUUUAGUAUGGAUUUUUUUGUACUGUGUAUGGAUAACUAAACUCAGGUAAAUAGCUGUCAGCAGUAUAAUAAACAUGGCAUCUAAUCCAGCAAUAAAAGCAUUAGAUACUGUAUAUUGUGCCUCACCAAUCAGUCUCCUGAAGGCAUUUGGCAAAUGCAUGAAAAAUUCUUCCCCUGCAUAAGCUAUGACUAUUUGUAAAAAUGAGAUGACCUGUUCACGUUAAUAAUUUGAUAUCGAAGCUUAGUUUUAAAUUUGUCCUGGGCUUCCAUAUGACAGUUUAAUCAUUUUAAUUUAGAGCUUCAAAAAGGUCCUUUACUCUGUCCAUUCUAUAAAGGCUGAUGAAUUUGUUUUGUUAUGCAUGUUUUGUAUGGAUUAUUCUAAGUUGAGCUUGCAGAAAGAACAUUCAGGUGACACUGUAUAAUAUUUCCCUAGUCAAUUACUUCAUGGAAAUGAUAUGUUAAACAAUUGCAAAGCAAGAGAUGGUUUUCACCAUUAUUUAGAAAUAUUGGUAUUGUUACAGAUCAAAUAUACAUUAUUCAGCAAAUGACCAUGCAUUCUCAGCAGUGGUUCAGCUAAAUUACUGAUUAUUGUAACCUUUGAAGAAAUAUCAUUGUCACGACUAUUGGUUUAAGCACUUCUCUAUUCAUAGUCAUCUUUGUUUGGAGAAUAUCUAGAAACCAUUAUGUCUUUUAAAAAUCUAAAAAGCAGUAGCCACUGAUACGACAACUGGUAAGACUAAAUAAUUUCCCUAGUAGUACAGAAUUCAGUUUUCCCUUAUGCCAUUGUUACUUGGAAAAUAGAAGCAUCUGAAUGUAAGAAAGCACACAUUUUGCAGCAGUUAACUUCAAAUAUUGCAUUUUCAAGAUCAGGAUAGAAUUAUCCCACAAGAUAGAUUUCACAUGAAAGAUUAUUCUAAAGAAAUUGCAAUAAAAGGAUAUUCAUUGCUUAUAUAGGAAAUUGAAAUCUAAUUUAAAGAGAACAUUGUGCUGUAUCUAUACCCAGGUAAAAGUUUUACUAUCAAUGCAUAUCCGUCAUUACCUUUCUUACAAUUUUGUUUCUGUCGCAGUCGUAUAUUCUGAAACUUAAUUUGACAGAACAAUCAUGUGUAAAAAUGAAAUAUGUGUGUUUAUGUUUACAUGUGUGUUUUAUGUGCUGCAAACAGAACUGCAAGGUCCCCCCCAGAAACUCACGGGUCCUGGCUCACAUCACUAUCAUGAAACACAGAAGCUACAGGUUAUAGCUCGUACUACAUGGAGAUCCUUUCCAUUUUCUCAGAAUAAUGAGACAGGCAGUGGAAAGAUCCCAGUAUGAUUCAUACAGAUCCUAGCAAGAAAAGACAGAAUGAAAUCCAAGUUGGCACUGUUGAUGUCAGCUGUAGAAAACAAAGAAUGUGUGGCAUUUUGGGAUGUUCGUGUAUUACAACAGAGUUCUACAUUAAUUCCAUGAGUUCCUCAUGAAUUUCAGCAUAGUGAUUCAGAUAUCUGUUUAACUACAUGUGGAGUCCACAUUCUGCAAAGUCACUUUUGUCAGGCAAACUGGUUUAUACUAGAGUGUGUGAAGCACAUUGCGGGCUCUAUUUUAGAGUAUCUCCUGACUUUGCUUGUCUCGGUUGAAAGGGUUUAAAGUGCGUUGCAGCGCAUUUUCAUGUUGUAUAACUGUCACACUAUGAAUUCACUUCUGGCUCACUUCUUUUUUGAGAAAAAAAACCCCUCUUCUGUGCCUAUGUUACCAAGGGGCAGAGGGUGUGUGUGUGUGGCAAAAAUGCCUUCUAUUGAGGGCAUUUUGAAGGGUAUUGUUUUUAAAGGUUAUAUUUUGAACCCUUGGGGAACCCGAAGACUGCAAAAAUGGCUCAAGGAGGCCAUAUUUAGCCUGUGGGUUGCACUUUGCCUGUUCCUGAUUGAAAAAUUGGAAUUUAACAAUUCGGUCUGGAUGCCUCUCAAAUAAUCUUAGAGUUUUCAAAUGCAAUGUUCAUGAAGUCAUAUGACACAAUGAAGCUAAAAGGUCUGGAAUGAGUGUGGCUGGGCAGCUUCUUAAGUGUGGCAGUAUUUGAUGGCAGACAGAAGUUGAAAUUCAAGGGGGUGGGGUAAAACUCUUCAGCCAAGACAUUUGAUUUGGUUUUAAGGACAGGUGUGCGCAUGGGAUGGUAUCGGCUUUGAUGUCACCCUUUGACCAUGAGAAAAAUAAUGGAUUUCAUAGCUUUUCUUAGUAGGCAUUGAUUAUUGGUGGGGAAGAUAUAAUGCUGUUGCAUUGAUAAUUCUGUGACAAAUGAAAAUGGUACCAGGCUGCUGUGACUACAGCAGUAGUAUCACUUUCCCAUUUAAGGAGGAUGAACCACCUCAUUUAUAUUAUGAUAAUAUAUAAUAUAAUUUGUUGUAAGUCUAAUUUUAUAGUAUAGUUAGUUACCUAAUUCUGCUAGUCAAAAAACCCUCUUCAGUGCCUCUAGGAAUUGUCCCAAUCUUUCACAUAGCACAAAUGACAUUGGAAAAAUCAAUAUAUUUUUAAAGCAGCGCUGCACCUUACAACUGAGCAGUAUUGUACAGUUGUUGCAGAGCUCAAGCUGGGCAGACAGAUCUUGGCUUUGGUUGUCCUUUGUAUAAAUUGGUUUAGAUAAUGCAGAGUUCAAUUGCUUGCAUGAGCAAGCAGCCAGGUUCUGAACUCAAGAAAUGGAAGAAAUAAGCUAAUGUUCAAACACGUCAUCUCUUUGUGUGGGAAAAUAGUUUGGGAAUUGGAGCAAAGUCUUGUCUUUUGUUCUAGAUGAGAUUAGACUGAUGCAGAUGCAUAAGCCUCGGUUCUUUGUGAUGGUUCUGUAGCUGGAAAUUCGAGUAGAUUGCUUUGGUUGCAUGCAUCUAAACUCUCUGUCUUGUCCAUGGUAUCCACUGUGGUCAUCUAGAGGUAUUUUCUAGUUUUCAUUCACAUUCAUUAAUGGCUAAUUAUAUGUCUGAGCACUCCCAUUUUUUAAAGGUUGUUACUCUUUUUAAUGCUUUUUUUUGACAAAUACAGGUUGAGCAUCCCUUACCUGGAAUAAGUCCACAUGGGUGCCUGAGAUAAUGACCUCUUUUCUUUUUGAUGGUUCAGUGUACAUAAACUUUGCUUCAUGUACUAAAUUAUUAAACACUUUGUAUGAAAUUAUCUUUGGGCUGUGUGUAUAAGGUAUACAUGAAACAUAAAUGAAGUUUGUGUGUUAUAUAUAUAUAUAUAUAUGCCAAUAUUCCAAAGUCCAAAUAAAUUUGGAACCCAAAAGCAUUUCAAAUAAUGGAUUUUCAAACUACAUAUUUUUAUAUAAUUGUGCUUAUACAUUUCACUUUACAGCAGAUUAUUGCAAAUUAAUUUAAUCUAAUAUCAUAAUUCAACAUAAUAAAUAUUAAAAUAACCUAUUACAGUAUUUGAAAUUAAUCUGCACUGUUCUUGACCUUAAUUCUUUCAUUAUCACUUUUCUUUGUAUAACCAAUUCUGGAUGAACUAUGAUAGGAUAAGUGUCUUACUGUAGAUUAAAACAAGGUUCAGUAAAUAAAUACACAGGUAAAUUUUGGGGGCCUUGCUCAUUUCUGUAUAAACUAAAGAAGGAUUCAGUAUUAGUAAGAAAUAUUUUGAAUUGCAAUUAAAGCAUAGAUCACAAUUUCCUUCCAUCAAGGUGAAUGAAUAAUUUGUAUUCAAAAGUAGAAGUGAUUCCCAUUCAGUUUUAUCUGUCAGUGAGAUAAGUAUUAUUUAAUCAAAUAAGGAUGUAACUGCUAUGUAAGUACACUUCACUAUGGUAUUGUACUGUUUGAAAUACUGGAUGCAAUCUGGAGUUGAAAUGUGGAUAUGUAAAUGCAGUCCACUUGAUUACUGAUUUUUUAAUUGAAUAUCAUUUCUCUUUUUUUAUUGAAUACCAUUUCUCGCGAGCCCCCAGUGGCGCAGUGUGUUAAAGCACUGAGUUACUGAACUUGCAGACCGAAAGGUCACAGGUUCAAAUCCGGGGAACUGAGUGACCGCCUGCUGUUUGCCCCAGCUUCUGCCAACCUAGCAAUACGAAAACAUGCCAAUGUGAGUAGAUCAACAGGUGGGAAGGUAACAGCGCUCCAUGCAGUCAUGCCGGCCACAUGACCUUGGAGGUGUCUACGGACAAUGCCGGCUCUUCGGCUUAGAAAUGGAGAUGAGCACCAACCUCCAGAGUCCGAUACGACUGGACUUAACAUCAGGGGAAACCUUUACCUUUACCUUUACCAUUUCUCGUAACUCGUAGCUGAGAGAAAGUGCAAAUCCAGGGACUAGAUUGUUCUUUAUAGAGUUAAGUGAGUGGUGAAUUUCAUUCAAUAGGUAAUGUAACUUCUCUUAGAGCCAAAUGUUAUUUGACAUACCCUAUUUACUCAAAUUUAAUGUUCACCCUUUUUGGACUAAAUGACUUCACCCAAAAAAUUAGAUUUGUGUAAUACGGGAAUCUUAAUGCUAAACCAAAGCAAAGGGGGAAGCUGCUUCAGGAGCAACUAGAGUUCUUAUUUGAGGUAUGUCAUCUCUAAUUUAAUUACCGUAGCUCAAUGCUGCGUAAUCCUGGGAUUUGUAGUUUGGUGAGGCAUCAGCAUUCCUUGUCAGAGAAGGCUCAAGACCUUGUAAAAAAGUGGUUCUCAACCUGGGGUCCCCAGAUGUUUUUGGCCUACAACUCCCAGAAAUCCCAGCCAGUUUACCAGCUGUUAGGAUUUCUAUGAGCUGAGAGCCAAAAACAUCUUGGGACCACAGGUUGAGAACCACUGUUAUAAAACUACACCCCAUGACUCCAUGCAUUGAGCCAGGGCAGUUAAAGUGAAUUCAUUCUACAGCAUAGAUGCACCCAAGGUUUUCUUUUCCAUUGCUGGAAGCUUUGGUGUUCUAACACUUUUGUUUUUGAAAUAAGGAAUUCUAAGCAAGCAGCAACUUUUUAUGUGUAUCUUAUUUGGCCAAAUUACAAAGACUACACUUUUUUGCUGCUAUUCAUUACAUUCAGCAGCAAAUACUUUGUCAGGGGCCCCUGAAAAGACAGCACUUAUGUUCUCCUGGAUUUGCAGUCACAUACAGACAUCUGUAACAUGCACGCUUCUGCUGCUCUUCCCCCACCUCUGUGCUUCCUGAAUCAAACACACUUUGGUUCACUGUAUUUCAGCCAAGAGAACCUAGAAAAAUGUGGCCUAGACAAAACUACAGUUAGGUGGAUCUGUAAUUGGCUAAACGAUUGAGCCCAAAUGGUGCUCACCAAUGCAUCUUCUUCCUUUUGGAAAGAAGUCACGAGUGGAGUGCUGCAAGCUUCUGUCCUGGACCCAGUUCUGUUCAGCUUUAUUAACAACUUAGACGAAGAGUUAGAAGGCAUGAUCAUCAAGUUUGCAGAUGACACCAAACUGGGAGGGAUAGCUAACACUCCAGAAGACAGGAGCAGAAUUCAAAAUGAUCUUGACAGACUAGAGAGAUGGUCCGAAACUAACAAAAUGAAGUUCAACAAGGACAAAUGCAAGAUACUUCACCUAGGCAGAAAAAAUGAAAUGCAAAGAUACAGAAUGGGGGACGCCUGGCUUGACAGCAGUACGUGUGAAAAAGAUCUUGGAGUCCUCGUGGACAACAAGUUAAACAUGAGCCAACAAUGUGAUGUGACUGCUAAAAAAGCCAACGGGAUUUUGGCCUGCAUCAAUAGGAGUAUAGUGUCUAGAUCCUGGGAAGUCAUGCUACCCCUCUAUUCUGCCUUGGUCAGACCACACCUGGAAUACUGUGUCCAAUUCUGGGUAUCGCAGUUGAAGGGAGAUGUUGACAAGCUGGAAUGUGUCCAGAGGAGGGCAACUAAAAUGAUCAAGGGUCAGGAAAACAAGCCCUAUGAGGAGUGGCUUAAAGAACUGGGCAUGUUUAGUCUGCAGAAGAGAAGGCUGAGAGGAGACAUGAUUGCCAUGUAUAAUUAAAUAUGUGAGGGGAAGUCAUAGGGAGGAGGGAGCAAGCUUGUUUUCUGCUGCCCUACAAACUAGGACGCGGAACAAUGGUUUCAAACUACAGGAAAGGAGAUUCCACCUGAACAUCAGGAAGAACUUCCUCACUGUGAGAGCUGUUCGGCAGUGGAACUCUCUGUUGUGUAAUGUGGUGGAGGCUCCUUCUUUGGAGGCUUUUAAGCAGAGGCUGGAUGGCCAUCUGUCGGGGGUGCUUUGAAUGUGAUUUCCUGCUUCUUGGCAGGGGGUUGGACUCAGAGCCAGCCCUAGGUAUUUUUCAAGUGUAGGUGAAGAGAAUUUUGGCGCCCCGCCCCCAAACCAAUCACUGAAAAAUAAAAGCAUUGGAUAAGCGAAAAAUGAUAAUAAGGAGGGAUUAAGGAAAAGCCUAUUAAACAUCAAAUUACAUUAAGAUUUUACGAAUUAAGCACCAAAACAUCAUGUUUUACAAGAAAUCAACAGAAAAAGCAAUCUCGAAUGCGCCCCCGAAUGUUUUGCGCCCCAAGCAACCACUUAAUUUGCCUUAUUGUUGGACCGGCUCUGGUUGGAUGGCUCAUGAGGUUUCUUCCAACUCUACUAUUCUAUGAUUCUAUGAUUCAGCAGCAAAUCCUUUAUUAUUAUUCCAAACAUAUUUGCAGCUACAGUCCCGGCAGAAGAGAGAUGGAAACAGAGAUCAACCGCAUGGCAGCCGCUUUAUAAAUCACUCCUUAUCUCAGUUACCACCCACAGACAUCUGUCUCCCUUGACCAGAGGUGUCAUUUUGGUCUGGGCUCUCUAGGCACUAAGUGAUCUUAACCCUUCAGUUACCCAUUGCUACCAGUCACAUGUCUUAGGAAUUACAUUUUUCCUGCCAUAUAACUCCACCAAUCAAUUAAUAUAUAUAUUCUUGGUUUCAUGGUUUUGAAAAUUGGAAUGUUCAAUAGAUUCAAUGACACAUUAGACUCGAGUAAAUAUGGGUAUGUUCAAACUGUCUAUACUGUUCAUAAGAAAGAUUCUCCCUAUGUUUAGUUUUGAAAUGACCACAUGUAAUAGUACUUCGUGCAAUGCAGGGUCUAUUGAAUUCAAUUCCAAAAGAACUGCUAAUGGCCACCAACUUUGAAAAUUUUAUAAAGGAAUUCUACAAAUUCCUAAGGAACAAUCACUAGGAGCUUAUGGUGUGAAAAGGGAUGUGAUGUAUUUUACUCUAAAAUUAUAUGAUGAGCCCCUCCACAGACCAUGGAACCCUCUUGAGGGUAAAGCUGUCAUUAACUACACCGAAGCAAAGUCUCUGAAGAGCAAUUGAAUAAGCACCUGACUGACCACUGUACAAACAAGAUGCUAGUUUAAAUAGGUCUUUGAUCUGAUUCAGUAGAACUCUUGUGUUUUUUCCAUACUUGUCUUUAUUUGUUUAUGUAAUCGAAAUUAUUUUGAGACUAUCUUUAUCGGGAGGGGAUGUGGUAAGGGAUUUUCAAGCACAAGCUCAUCCAGAAGUGGGACUGCCUAGGAGAAUCUCAGCAAAAGCUUACUAAUUGACUUGGAUGAUUACACAAACAGGACCUUCAUGACAUUGUUCCAAUUUGUUUGCAAACACUUAAAUCAAUGACAUGUUAUUUCCUUUAUGGCUUUGUUCCAAAUAACUUUUAGAAGUAAUCAUAUGUAGUACAUAGGAGCAUAAUGUGUUUCAUAUUUUAGUGAGUUCAUGCUGUAUGUUUCAGUUAAGGAACCAUACGAGUACCAUCCUGAUUUACAAGGUAAUAAAAAGAUUCACAAGUGAAUUCAUCCUAAUGAGGGAAUUAACUUCCUGAGGAGAAGAGCUCAAUGAGCUGAUGUUGUUUUUGCUUGAUAGUUUUAAAAUACUUAUUUUAAAAUAGGUGUUUACCCAGUGCUUGCCUUUGAAAGGAGUCCUAUGUGCAGAAGAGUUUUUGAUCUAAUGGAGACCUUAGAGGAGAUGUUUUUUCCCCUAGAUUCCCUUGCUAUAGCUCCUUAUCCACCACCUUUCAUGCUAUCCUAUAAUCUUCCAAUCCUUUGGAGCAGGUUUUUCAAUUAUGCAAAGAAGAGAGAGCAAAAGGAUGAUAUCCUCUCCCCCAUAUACUGAUGUCUUCCAGAGAUAUCAUAUGGGUCAACAACCCUUACAAAACAGCAGGGAAAAACUAAAGUCCAUUUAUAUUUAGAAAAUAACAUUUUACAACCUGAUAAAUAAAUAUUUGUAGUAUAGGGAAUUAAGUGUACAGUACAGAUAAUUAUCUUUUCUCCAAUUCAAACCUCUGUCUUGUCACUCCCUUGCUGACUUUCUCUUGUAGUGGAAAAGAAUCAGUAAUCACAAUGCAACAGAAAUAAGACUUUCCUUUAUAACUAGUUCUACAGUCCAGUACAGAUAUUUAAUUCUAUUAAGGUGAUUUUCUCAUUUGUUUGCAUUAGUUGAUUUUUUCAAACAAGAAUGGUGCAAAGCAAGGAUUGGCGAGGAUUCUAAAAUUCUCUUGUGUUCAUUAUUAUUAUUAUUAUUAUUACAUGCAUUUAUACCCCGCCCUUCUCCCCGAGGGGACUCAGAGCGGCUCAUGGUGUUCAUGUUCUGAAAAUAUUGUAUUUUUGUGCAAGCAUGACUGCCUAUUUUAUUCACUCUUUGGGUGACUGUUGACUGUUCCUUGGCUAUGUUUAAGUUGUCAUUUCUGCUUGCCCUUGUUUCAAAUGAAAACAGUGCCUUUUUUUUCUUAUGGGUCACUGCCACAUGGAUGUGUAGAAGUGACUGCCACACUUCAUUCAUCAUUCAUAUUACAUAGAUAAGCAAUACUGUACAUACAAAUGUUGUACCACUUUUAAUAAAAUAUUUCAGGCAUUUUAGUUUUCAGAUUUAGAUAGAACUAUUAACCAAUGAAUGUUUAGUUUUUAUAUUAAUCAAUUCACAGAAACAUGACAGUUCAAUGAACUUGGCAUUAAAUUUUUUUUUUAUUAAGAUUAAACAGUAUAAUAAAAUCAUAGGUACAGGGGAGGGAAAGAUUACAUUAGUGGGGAAAGAGAGGAAAGAAGAAAAAAAGGAAGAAAGAGAAAGGAGUGGGGGGGGGGGUAAGGAAAGGGGUAAUGGGGACAAAAGGAGGGAUAGUCCAGGAUAAUAAGGGAAAGGGUUUGUACUUCCAUUCUUCUUCUUUGCAAUCCAUCUGGAAUAUUACAAAAAUUCCAUUCUAUUGUUUGUUAUUUGUUAUUUUUUCUAUUCCGUCCUUCCCAUUAGUUCACCUUUUUUCUGGAGCUUUCUUACUUUGUCCUUUUCUUUCUACCUAUUUUUGUACUUCUAUCAAUUCUUUCUCUUUUACUUUUUCAUAUAUUCUAUAACCGGUCUCCAGUCUGUAUUCUUUAUGUGUCUUCCUGUAUUUUUUUAGUAGAUAUGUAAGCCUGUCCAUGUCCAUAAUUUCAGUUAGUUUUUCUAGCCACUCUUCAAUGAACUUGGCAUUUUGAUGUUAUAUUUUAGCAACUGAAAUAUCUGAUUAUUGGAUGUAUUGUAACUAUGUAUUGUAAACCUACAGUCAGGUAGUUAUGAGGGAAAGAGAUAUACCAUCCUUCUCCUGGAUAACAGUUUUGUACAACUGAUUGUGUAUCUGACAGUGUACUUGCUUAUUGUCCUGUUGUUUACUAGGGAAUGCACAGUGGCUGUUUCCACAAUACCAGUAACUCAGGCGCUACAUUCAAGGCAUAGAAAAAUAGUUACACAACAUCCCAGAAUGUACAACUGUGUUUAAAAUGUUCACACUUACAAAAACAUGAAAUGCAUAUGUCCUUUGUGCAGUGGCCAAUGAAAUAGACCAGAGUUUUUCAAACAUUUCAUGGGUCUGUUUAGCCUGCAGAAGAGAAGGUUGAGAGGAGACAUGAUAGCCAUGUAUAAAUAUGUGAAAGGCUGUCAUAAGGAAGAGGGAACGGGUUUGUUUUCUGCUGCCCAUAAACUAGGACUCGGAACAAUGUUUUCAAAUUACAGGAAAGGAGAUUCCACCUGAACUUGCUGGCUCUAAGAACUAUUCAGCAGUGGAACUUUCUACCUCAUAGUGUGGUGGAAGCUCCUUCCUUGGAUGCUUUUAAACAAAGGCUGGAUGGCCAUCUGUCAGAGGUACUUUGUGCUUUUCCUGCAUGGUGGAGGUUGGACUAGAUGGCCUAGGUGGUCUCUUCCAGUUCUAUGAUUCUAUGAUGAUACACUUUUAGACAUGCAUCAUUUUGCAAUGCAGUAAUUCGGGUUUGGUACUGCUCUGUUAUUCGGGUGGAGACCACUAGCAGGUGAUAGAGAGAAAAGGAUGGAAGGUGGGUUGAAGAAGGAAAACCAUUUUCCCCUGUUUUCCUGUUAUUCCCUUCCUCCCACCCAUGUCCUCAUCAUGGAAACAAUCCUCGUUUAUGAAUAGGGAAGAGGGGAGGGGAAUAACCAUUAAAAAAGAGGGAAAUGGCUUUCCUCCUACAACUCCCCCCCCCCCAAAUGAUCCUUCUCUUUCUAGCAUUCCCUAGUGGUCUUCACCCAGAUAAUGGAACAGUACCUUAGUUUUACUACCUUCACUAUUAUCUUCUUGAAAAAGUCUGCCUAGCACCAAGACAAUGCGACAUAUUCCCCCCAAUUGUAGUAUUUCUCUUCCUGAGGCAUUCCUAUUUUACUGAAUGUGGCAGAAAGAGAGGCACCCACCCUAAUUAAUUCUAAUGAGCUAAUUCACUAAAUCAUAUUUUGAAAUUUCAGCAUUAAUUGAAGAAUCUAAAAAGUUAGGUGAAAUCAUGAGGAAAAAUUGUGAAUUAAUAAUGAGCUAAUCAACAUGUUAAUGCCUCACUGUAGUAGACAUAAAGAAAUAAGAGAACAUUUUUGCUUGUGCCAUAUAGUUUAUGCUUUAAUCCAACUUCUGUCUGUUAGUAUGUAACAAAAAGGGAACAAAAUGGAGAACAGCCAUAUAACAUUAUUCCAAUUUUCAUUUUACUUCUGAUUGAUGAAUAAUGUAUAGUAAUGGUGUUCAGACUAAUAGAGUAAUGUGUGGACCAGAUGAUAUCAUGUAUUAUAUUUUAUUCACCCAAAAUCUAUAUAUUUGUCAGAUGGCUGGCAUAUAAUAGGAUUUUUUUUCUAAAUUAAGCAGCUAAAAAUGCUUGCUAUUGACAAUGGCCAUAAUUUCCUCCAUCAUAGUGAUUGCUCUGAAAUUUCUCUGAUGACAAGUAUGAUGCAAAGACAAAAGAGUAUUCUGUUGAGAAUUGUGUGCAAGUUAAGGAUUCCACAGCUGUUUAAAAUUAGUUUACAUUUUGAACAAAAAGAGAGAAAUGACUUUGGAGCAAGAUAUUUACAAGCAGAGUACUAGGUAGCAAUACUUUCCUGGGUGAAGCAUGUAGUGUAAAUCAUUUCUGUAUAGGAACUCAAUCUGAAUAUCUGUAUUUUGGAUUUGAUACUAACACUAUUUCUUAAGUCCAAUUUAGCAUUUAAUGUCCUAAAAGCAUGUUAUUUUACUGUCACUUUUAGAAACACUACAAAUUUCCCCUUUUACUUCUAAAUAGGGUGUAGGCAAAUCUCUAUGCUCCACAGUAUAUGAAGGGGUAAGUUAAUCUUCUCCCCAAUGAAAUUCUAAUAAAAUUUAUCAAGAAUCAUUGUUAUUACUAGAAAAAAAUGCAUAUUAGCAUCAGUGAGAGUUGUAUUUCUUUUGCUAAUUCUUUGCAGCAUUGGCUUGCAACAUUAUCCUCUCCCAAGGUAAUCCUACAAAUAACGUGUAGUUAGAAGCUAAGACAUUUUAAGGAAGAACUUUAUUAAUUAGAUGGGGGGAGAACUUUAUUAAUUUCUAAUGAAAUAGAGGGUGAAACAUGCACUUCUGAGAGAGAAUGCCCUAAUGAAUCCAACCUCAUGAUUGAAUAAAAGUGCUGCUUGAUUUUUUUAUAGCAUAGGUAGCAAGAGGUUAACACUCUCCAAUAUUCACCUGGUCUCUGGUUGUCAAAGUAAAUGUUAGGAAUAAAUAGUUCAGUAUUCUGCCUAACAGCUGGUCAUUUUCCAAUUUGGCAGUUAUGAAUUAAUGGUGUCACUGGCUUGUGAUUUAAUGACAUUACUGGAUUGGAAAUGACCCCCGGGUUCUAGUCAUUUGUUUGAAAUAAAGGAUGUGGUAUAACCAAUAUGUCUGGUCAAAUGACCCCAUUGGCUGAAGCAAACCUUUCAGUAUAAGCUUUUGAGGUAAGGAGACCCCUUCUACUGUAACAGAAUUGAGGUUGUUCAGAUGAUAUAACUUUGAUAUUGCUUAGAAAGACAAGUCUGGAUAUGGGAAAGGGAUGGUAAAGAAAUAUACAUUAACCAGGAUACUUUAUGAAUUCAUAUAAUUUAUGAUGUGCAAAACCAUUAAUAAAAAUAUUUCAAGCAAUCACAAUCAUCCAGUUUCUUAAAAAUUAUAUUUUUUUAUUUUUUUAUUUGCAGUAUUUAUAUUCCGCCCUUCUCACCCUGAAGGAGACUCAGGGCGGAUCACAUUAUGUACAUAUAGGGCAAACAUUCAAUGCCCAUAAACACAUCGAACCGAGACAGAGACAACAGACAGACAGACGCAGAGGCAAUUUAACCUUCUCCUGAGGGGAUGUUCGAUUCUGGCCACAGGGGGGAGAGCUGCUUCAUCAUCCACUCUGAUGGCACUUCCUCACUUUGUGCACAAUUGAAAGUGGAUAUAUUUGAACAGGGCCCCUGAUGGUGACGCAGUGUGUUAAAGCGCUGAGCUGCUGAACUUGCAGACCAAAAGGUCCCAGGUUCAAAUCCCGGGAGCGGAAUGAGCGCCCACUGUUAGCCCCAGCUCCUGCCAACCUAGAAGUUCGAAAACAUGCCAAAGCGAGUAGAUCAAUAGGUACCAGUCCGGCGGGAAGGUAACGGCGCUCCAUACAGUCAUGCUGGCUACAUGACCUUGUCUACGGACAACGCUGGCUCUUCGGCUUAGAAAUGGAGAUGAGCACCAACCCCCAGAGUCGGUCACGACUGGACUUAACAUCAGGGGAAAACAUUUACCUUUACCUAUAUUUGAACAGCAUGCACAAACUCGCUUUAUUCAAUGUGGAAAAUGCAUAAAAUGUAGCAGUCAUAAGAAAAAUGUCAAUAUUAGUAAAAAUAUAUAUACUGAAUAAAUACAUAGAUAUACAUCCAGGUGAAAAGAAACUCAAAAGACUAACUGCUGGGAUGCAAAUAAAUGCAAAUAAAAUAUCCUAUCUGCUGUUUGGUGCUCUAAAUCCAAAGGGAAUGGUAAAUGGCAUUUUGAAUUCCUUUAUUUCUUAAUUUCUUCAUAAUUUUAUUUGGCUAUGCAAAUAAAUUAUAACAGUUACAUUUCUAUACUUAUCUACUACUUAUAAAUACAUAUAAAUUUUUUCCCUUUUCCUCUCCCCCUCCCUCCAGGAACAGUUAUACCUCUGUUCUGUAUAUUAUUUUAUUUGUUCAAUCAUGAAUAUUGUCUGAUUUAGUUCCUUAUAGUUUUCGUUCCCCUUUUCUCUGUCAAUAAGCCCCCUCCAUUUCGACUCCCAAUUCUCCUUAAUAUAUCCAUUAGUAUAUUUUAUUCUCCUUUCAGUGAUAUAAUCUUGUAGCAUUUAAUAUGAUAAAUCUUCAUACCAUGUUUAAUUUCCCAUUUCCUUUGCUCUUUCCAUCCAAAAGCUGCUGUUGCUUGGAUUGCAUUUUGCAUUCCUGACUCAUUUUCUGGACAAGCCCAUAGUAUUACAAAAAAAGUGAAAUUUGCCACCCAUAAAGUUUUAUUUCUUACCUUCUAGGACUUUCUGGAAUAACAUUUUAAUCCACUUCAGCAGGAAGAGGAGGGAGGAUGAAAAAAACUAAAUAGACAUUUCCUAAUUAAAGUUUCCUAAUGCUAUAGACAAUUAGCCAAUCUUAGAUCUCGUCUGUGUCUUUGCAAACUAUCGAUUUUGGGGGCUUGCAUGGUCAUGCCUUCCUUUUUAAAAAGUACAGUAUUCCAAAAAUGUGUAUCCUGGAAUAACUGCUAACUAACUAAAUAGAAAUCCUCUACAUUGGAAUACAAUGUUCAUGCUGAAAUUGCCUCUGGGUGUUCCAUGAAAAGAGAAUCUCCAUGUGGAUUUUUUCUUAAAAGAACAACACUGAGAACUUAACUAGAGAUAGAGUAACCAUCAGGAACACCCCCUCCAUUCCUUUUCCCUUUCUGCUGAGUAUGGUGUUUGACCUUGGCGUCCCCCUUUGCACACCAUUACUGGUUUCUUGCCAGUUCUGACUCUGCGUCCAACAUGAGGAAGAGGAGGACAAUCACUUGACCUCUUUUGGAUACUAUGUGAUAGAUAUUAAACUGGUAUUAUACCUGCUCACUAUUUCACUUUUAAACAUCCAUUUAUGAUUUUAUAUACUUUAGUCAAGACUUGAUUAAGAGCUCCCUUAAUCCACCAGGAAUCUUUCAUUUUAUUUAAAAUGAAUUUUUAUCCCCUUGCUUUCAUCACUGCAUUAGUGGAAUCAGCUAUGAUAAAAUUAUAGGCUUAUUAACCUUCUCUUUUCCUUUCAUAAAGGGAAUUUAUCUAGCAAAUCUGGUUAUGUGUCUGUUGGCCUAGAUGGAUGUUGGAUGAAUGUGAAAUGAGAUGCUGAUGGACCAAAUAUGUAUUUGCGGGAAUUGUGUUCCCUAGAAUUUGGGCAGAAUUAUAGAAGUUAUAGAGUUUAACAAGACUACAAGUACCAUCCCGUCCAACCUCCUCUUCCAAGCAGAAUAUUUUAGGAUUUUUAAUUUUGUGCUAUAAUUUCAUUUGAUAAGAUCAAAAAUGUUGAUAUUAACUUUAAAUUCUAUUGCUAAUACUAACUAGAAUUAGACCCAUUGAAUCACACUAUGCUUUCCUAAGAGUGCAUUUAUAUGAAAAUAUCUGCCAUGUACAGGUAUCCCUAUAGAUACUUAAUUUGCGGCUAUUUUUAAAAUCGCAGAAAAUAAAUAAUGUGCUGGUGUACUUGUAUAAUAGACUGAUGAGAGGCAGUGAUCUGAGUUUGGAAUUUUUUAAUUAGGAAAAGUAAUCAUGUGGUCUAAAGAAAGAAUUUUUUCCAGUUUCUUGUGGUACCUAUAGCCACAUGAAUGCUAACAUACAUGAAAACUGCAAUUCACUGUUUCACACACAGUUGGCAAUGUAUAUUGAUCCUCAGCAUUUUAGUAAAACGAGUUCUUGUCCUUUUUAAAGCAAUUGCUUGGUAUAAUUGUUCUACAUUGUUGAUAAUUUCCCUAGUUUGAAAUAAUUAUUCAAAAAGACAUGCAGGGCAGGUAAUAGAUAUUAUUUGGGGUGUUAUUCUUAAUAAGGCUUAUUAUUUUUAAAUAAUCAUUGUAAUCAUUGAGUUAAUUAUUUCUUAUUUAGAUUUAUGUCCCAUUAAUUUCUGUGAUCUUGUCUACGUGCAUUUUUCUGGCUUUUCUAUAUAUGAGGAACCAGAAGUUAACAAUGUGCAAUAUAUACAAAAGGAAUAGAAAGAAUAUCGAUAACUACUUGUUUUCAGGUCAAAAAAUUGGGUUUCCAAUGAUCAGGAAAUUCAAAAUAAUAAACCAGUGAGAAUGUAAUGAAUUUUCUCCCACUAUUCAAACAUUCUAAAAACAUGUGGGCUUUAUAAACAAAAAGUGAUUUUAUGCUCAGAAUAAUCCCUCGGCAACAAUUUGAGAGAGGGAACAAACUGGACAAGAAUACAGUCAACCCUACAUUUAAUUUUUGUUUAUUUGCAGAUUUGAUUAAUAUGUUCUCUUUAGGAAUGUAAAUGCCCUUAGGGCAAUGCUGGGAUCAACUUCUUCCAAAAACUGAUCAUAGAGUCAUUUUUGUAGAUUUAGAAAUGCCUAGAGAGCCAUUUUUUUCAAAUAAAAAGAGUAUUUUAAAUUUUGCAGCCAUCUUGCAUCCCUAAUCUUGGUGAAAGGGGUGUGUGUGUGUGUGUGCUAUUUUCAUUUACUCUCACAACAUGGAGAAAACUACCAAAAUUGCUCCUUUUCACAUAUAAUGAGUACGUAGCUGAGUAUUUACAUCUCCAGUACAUGAUACUUCACAGAAAUAUAAUAACAAGAUCCAACAGUUAAUUGAUAAGAAAAGAAAAGCCUUUCAAAUAUGGCAGAGAGACACCAACUGUGCUGCUAAGAAAAAGAUCUACACCAGUGCAAAAUCUGAGGUCCAAAGAAGGACCAGCGAACUCAAAAACAUAUGGUGAAGAAAAAAGGCUCAAGAAAUUCAACACCUUGCAGAUGUCCAUGAUGCACAGGAUGCCACCAAGCUCAUCUAUGGCCCAACGAGUCAUGGCAUAUACCCUCUACACUCAUCAGGUGGAACCAAACUUCUGAAGAAUAAAAAAAACAAUUAUGUAUGUAGGAAAGAGCACUACCACAACCUCCAUAACUGCAGCUCUAACGUGGCUGAAGAGGUUCUCUCACAAAUCCUCACAAAUCCUGCAACAAAAACCAGGGAUAAGCUUGCAGCACCACCUAGUUUGGAGGAAGUCAGCAAAGCAAUCAGCCAACUAAAAAAAACCCAACAAAGCCAGUGGACCUGAUGGGAUCCCUGCUGAAAUCUUUAAAGAGGGUGGACCUGAGCUGACACAAUAAUUCCACCAGCUCAUUGAAAAAGAACAUCUUCCGCCCCUCCAGAGGAACAGCAGUUUUAUCUUCACUGCACAACAGCUCCAAGGAAAAUGCAGGGAACAAAAUCAACCUCUGUACAUAGUAUUCAUUGACCUUGCAAAGGCAUUAGACAUAGUGAAUCUCAGUACUCUCUGGACCAUCCUCUAAAAAAUUGGAUGCCUUGACAAAUUUGUGAACAUCCUGUGGCUCUUCCAUGAUGACAUGAUGGCAACAGUCUUGGACAGCAAUGGCUCUCAAAGUGACCCAUUUAAGGUGGAAUCAUGCGUCAAACAGGGACCUUCUCUGGAUAUCUUUGAUAGUGAUAUCUUUGUUUAUUGAUGGUUGAAUGUAACCAAACACUGGUUGAGGCACACAAUUAUUUAAAAAAUAUCAUUUGUGAAAUUAAGGCAAUGUGUGUAAGGUGUAAGGUGCAUACGAAGCAUUAACGAACUUCAAGUUUAGCUUUGGAUUCUAGGUUCAAGAAUUCUCAUUAUGUAUAUAUGUGAAAUACAGAUAUUACAAAAUCCAAAACACUUCUGGUCCCAGCUUGUAAUAUAUAGGAUCCCACUCAGCUCAUCUGUUAAUAUAUGUUGGUUUGGUUUCCUGCCUAUGGAUUUCCUGACCCACAAAGCCCUGGGUUGGUAGACAACAAACAAAUUGGAGUUGCCAGAUCUCAAGAUGCACACUAAAUGGAACUUUGCAACAGCAGGAGAAAUCUGCCUUUAGGCAAGCAAUUCAAGGGAUGUAACUGCUACUGAUCAUGCUUCAUAGUCUAUUAGUUACUUCUGAAUCAAAUAUGGACACUCUUCCUCUUGACUUCUCUUGCAUUCAGACUUCAUUUGCUGAUCAAAAAGAAAAGAAACAUCGCAUGUUUGAAAGGUACAAACUUUAGUAAACACAUUUAACAGAUAACCCUUAUGAUGAUCGAUGAUACAUAUAAUAUGGAAUACAAUGCCCAUCAUCUCUUGAAGACCAGGAGAUUUCACCAGAGAUGAGUGAAUUGGUAGACUGUCCAUUUAUCAAGAGGAAAUCUUAUGUCUAAAAAUUGUCCUAUUUUUUAAAUUGGAGUGGGUAGUUCACUUCUGAAUGACAAAGUGUCUAGUCUUUUGGAAAUAAAAAAUAUGUCUUGACAUUACUCAUAAGUGGUGUGCUUCAUAACAACAGCUGUUGUGUAAAAUCAUUUCUGUAUCAACAGUUCCUAUGUUUUUGCAGUGGAAUAAAAUAUCAGCCAACACUGAAGUGAUUUCUGUCAAAUCUACCAAGCAAUAGCCCACCCUCUUCAAAAUGAUCCCAUCUUCCUCCAGUAGAGACAGAAUUGCAGGGGAGAAGAGGUGGUGUGAAAGUUAUAUUUUGCAUCCACACUGAACAGUUUCAAUUAUGCAUAAAUGGCUAUAUCUGGUUAAUAUAAGCAGUUAUAAUUAAUGAGUUAUAAUAUUAGAAAUUAUAUUUUAAAAAGAAAAUAGUAAAAAAGGACAAAAAAGAAAAGGAAAAAUAUUGUGGAAGACAUAUUCACCUGAUAAAAAGAGCCAAAUAAAACUCUAUAGUAAAAGUAGAAGAAAAUAUAAUAUAAUAAAAAUAUAAAAUAUCAACAAAGUCUCAUCAAGACUAAUCCUUUUUAAAGGAAAUAAAGAGAACAGAAGAACUAAUGGUAUCCACUAAAUAGUGCUGUUUGAAAAUCAAAGUUCAGAACCAUGGAAGAAAUGGACAUAAAUACAAGUUUCCUUCCAUGUAUGAUUCAGAAAAGAGAGAAAAACCUCACUAUGCACAAGCCAACAGAGGAAAAUGUACACGAGGGCUGAAGGUAUGACGUCUAGUGAAGAAAAACUGAACCUUCUCCCUUCUCCCAAAGGAAAAAAAAAACCCACUGCCAGUGAGUGUGCUGGAGUUUCCUUCUCUGUGUAUUUCUGUACUGCAGGGGGUUGAAUUGGAUAGCUCUUGUGUAUUCUGCCCACAGAAUUCAAGUGGUUCUCCACGUUAGCUUAAUCUGAGGCAAGCAGCGUUAAAGCGACCUUCCCCAAGUUUAUCUAGAUGAGCCCCGUGUGCAUUUAGCCACCACGGGGCUGAUCUGAGGUCACGGCAACCUAAGUGGUCAGUGUAUGAGGUAGAUUUGCCCUGAAGUAACUUUCUGUUUUCCCUGAUUCUAUAACACAUUGGUCAAGGCUUAAACAAAAAUCUCUAUUCUCGCUUCCAUUAGGAAACAAUUGUGUUUGUGAACUAAAUCAACCAUUUCUUCAGGUCCUUUCCAUAGUUUGGAGGCCAUGCUCUCAAUAUCCCUUAAACCCCAAGAUGAAAUGUGAGCAGUAAGAAAGAUAAAAGGGGGCAAAUUUACUAGCUCUACUUUUUCCCACAUCACUCUGUACUAAUAAUAAUAAUACAACUAAAGACAUAAAUAGCAAAUUAGCAAUAUAAUGGCUAUGAUUGUAUUGUAAGUAUUCAGAAUCAUUAUUUAAAUCCAUGGUCGGGUUGGAUGUAUCCCUAUUAUACUAAAUGUCAUUAAAAACUAUGAAUUAAUCAAGAAGAAUAUUUUCCUUAAAACACCUCUUUUUAUCAUUUUAGGGAAAAUGUAUUGUUUUAAAAUAUAUUCUUUGCUAUUUUAGAAAGCAGCUUAUGUACUCAAAGUAUCAUCUAACUAGAAGUAACACAUUUUUGUCUGAAUAAUGUCGAAUGUUACUUUUUUGUCUUAUAAAUGGAUGGCAAUUUACACAGCUGUGGAUGUGGGAUGCUUCAAUCCCAGGCCAUGUUGUAAGAAAAAUUGAAUGACAGUGAGCAAAACAGCAGUAAUUAUAAAACUAAUUACUAAAUGCUGAUGAUGCCCAUAGGCUUUGCAUAACUAAAAUUAGAAAAGGAAAUUGCUUUCGGCUUCAGAGAAGGCAACAUGCUAGUCCCCCCCCCCCCCCCAUUUUUUCCAGUCAAAAUGGAGCAUCAUGUAGAAGCUUCAGCUGGGGGCAGGCUGGGGGAUUAUUUUGUUUAUAUGUUAUUUUUUAGAUUAAAAUGUCAGAAAGAUGUUCUGUUUUUCCAUUUUUGAAACAUAUAAGUGUUUUAAAUAAGAAGAAUGUUGUGGUUAUACGAUGAUACAUUAUUUUCUCCACAGUUGAAUUAGACUAAUAUCUGCAACUACCUUGGUGUAAACUGUCAGACACUUAAGCAAAUACAUUAUGACCAGGAUCCUGUAGGGAACUGACAACAUUGUAAGCACAAUUUGAGCAUUGGACUAUGACUCGGGAGAACAGGGUUCAAUUCCCCACGUGGCCAUGGAAACCCACUGUUACACAUUCUUAGACUCCGAAAAUCUUUCUAUAGGUUCUCUUAGAAUCACCUAUGUCAGAAAUGACUUAAAAGUACGCAACAACAAAGCCAACUUGUGACUGUGCAGUUUAAAACUGUCUUAUUCCCAGGAGGGGUGCAUUGCCAUAAAUGUCCCAUGACGGCAGUUCCACAAGUGAAUUGAGCAGUGUGGUCGUUUUGCAACUGUCAUGAUUGGCAUCGGUAUGCAACUUUGUGGUGCACACUGCCUUUGUACAAUGACAGGGCAAAGAGCAUGAACAGCAUCUCACAAUAGAGCCAUGGGGCACUGAUCAUCCAGAACAGGAGACAUUGAAAAGUCAUGGGUGCCAUAAAAAUCACUGGAAAAAUGUCCCCACUUUUCAUAGAAGCAAUUUUUACUGCUUCAGAUUAAUUUGACAGAUUUUAAAAUAAAUUUUUCUUAAUGAAAAGUAAGAAAUUAACAUUUUGGGAAAGGAAUAGAGGUCAACCCACUUAAAAACCAGGGAAUAAAUAUAAGACUGGUCUUGAAAUUGUAUGUAAAUUGACUGGGUACAUCAGUAAAGGAAGGAAAAUCCAGUCUCACAACGUGUGAAAAAUGUUUUGUGGUAUAUCUCUAUGUUUUCAUAAAUAAAUGUUAAAUCUGGAGGUUUUGUCUCUGCAAUUAAACUGGUACUCUGGUCCUAACAAUAAUACAGGUGUUCCUGUCUUCCGCAUUAGAAGGCAGUGUCACUAAUGCUUGUAGUGUUGUCGUAGAACAUCGAUUGAAAUACCCUGUGCAAUAUGAGUCUUCUAACAUAGCAAAUAUUUGGUCUGUUUGCAUAAAUCUGCUUUCCCUAUGGAGAAACCAACACAACUUUGUGCUGAAAUACCUAGAGCACUAUCUCCCACCUGACAUUAGGGAAACCAGGGAUUAUGCAAUGACUGAUUUCAGUUGCUGCACCUUCCCACCCUAGUUCUGAAUUGUAUGUAUAAAGCAGGGGUCCCCAAACUUUUUAAACAGGGGGUCAGUUCACGGUCCCUCAGACCAUUGGAGGGCCAGACUAUAGCUGAAAAAAAAACUAUAAACAAAUUCCUAUGCACACUGCACAUCUCUUAUUUUGAAGUUAAAAAACCCCAAACAGGAACAAAUACAGCCUCAAUGUUAAUCAUAAUCAUAAUCAUAAUAAAAAUAAUAAAAAGGGUUGGAUGCAUCACACAGCCCUAAACGCUUGGGAACUUGUGAUUUUGUGAUACGAAAUCCAGCAUGUAUAUCUUGUUUGCUGUGUUAUACUGUGUAUGUGUGUCAAUAAUAAUAAUAAUAAUAAUAAUAAUAAUAAUAAUAAUAAAGAGGAUUGGAAGAGACCACUUGGGCCAUUUAGUCAAGCCCCCUUCUGCCUUUGAGCACAAAAGCACCGGCAAAGCACCCCCUUGAUAAUUAAUUAUUAAUUAAAUAAUAAUUAAAAUACCAUUCUAAACAAGCAAAGCUCUGGAAGGCACGCACUGGGCGAGGGAGGAGGCGGGGGCCGGAUAAAUGGCUUCGAUGGGCCUUAGUUUGGGGACCCCUGGUAUAAAGUAUUCAUGGAGUGGAAGCAGAACUGUGUGCCGUCAGCAGAAAGUACAGUAAGAUAAGAACUCUUACACAUAGCAGUACACACAUAGGGAUCUUUGUGCAAUUAAAAACCCUGCAUUAUCAGGAUUGCCAAUAGUGUUAAGUUCUUACAUCCAUGUGUAGGAUCUCUUGGAAACAUGUAGUCAAAGGUGGAAGGUUAAGUUUAAGGCUUCUUCCUUCACACUUUACAACUGUGUGUAAUUAAAGGUGUGCGAAGGGGUUACAGCAGUGCUUCUCAAACAUUGAUCCCCACAUGUUUUAGGAUUUCAGUUUCCAAAAAUGCAGGUCAUCAUGGCCAACUGUAAGGGAUUCUGGGACUCAUCGUCAUACAACUCAUUGGAAAAUAAAGGUUGGGAUGUGCGAGAGAGGCCCUUGGUUCUGAAACUCCUAUCUUAAGGAGGUAGACUGGCCCAUCUUUCCUAUCAUUGGCAGGUGAUUUUCUUAAAAAAAUAAUUAAAGGGGACUUUGAAAAAAAGGGGCUUUAAACAAUGUACUGCACUGCUCUUUAACUGCUUUUUCAUUACCCCUCACAGUUUAAUUGUAUUUUAAUAUAUGUUUUGUCUAUGACAUACUUCUUUUAAAGUUGUAAGCUGCUUGGAGUUCUGAUUUUGAAGAAAGGCAUACAUGCUGAUGCUUGGUACUGGUGGUGAUGAUAGUGAUGAAGUCACCACCUGGGAAAAGAAUGCUAAUUCUAGAGCAGCCUGAGAAUAUCGGAAAUCUGUUUUCUUAUGACUUUUUACAGUUUGGAAGCUCAAGAGAUUUAAGAGCUUGUAGCUUUUCAAAUCAAGUAUAGUAAUGUACCUCUUUCUGGGCUCAAGAAGGACAAGUGUAAUUUAUUAUGGAUUGAUGAUGAUAAAUGGAAGCUCUUACAUGUGCCCAUGAUCCAGAGUCACCCACAGAACAAUGACAUGCCACUCAGAUUUGCAGAACAAAAUUACAAGAACUUUACUAAUUCCAAGAGAUAAAAAACAGUAGUAUUUACAAUAGUCCCACUGAUCACUUACAGAAGUCAUAAACAGUCCUUUCUCGGUCCACAAAUCUGCUUCAGAGAGGAAUACAGUUCUGAUUCUUCACCCUCUUUUCUCAGAAGCAAGCAGGCCUCAAAAUAGCAAGGCCUCUCUGAGCACACUGCUCUCUUCACCAGCAGUACUCAGUCAGCACUGAAAAAAAAAGUUGUCUUGAUCAUUCCCCAGAUUGCUCAUGGUUUAGUGUGCAGGCAGUACACUGAACUUUUUCUGUUCAUGCAACUACUCAGCAAUAUGUCUGUUAGUUAUUUCAACAUGCAGCAAUUUGGGUUUUAACAAUAUGCUGAUCGGGUUGCUGUGCGUUUUUUGGGCUGUAUGGCCAUGUUCCAAUAACAUUCUCACUUGACAUUUCCUCCGCAUUUGUGGCUGGCAUUUUCAGAGGUCCUCUGAAGAUGCUGCCCACAGAUGUGGGCGAAACGUCAGGAGAAAAUGAUAUUUGAACAUGGCCAACAAUACGCUGACAACAAUACGCUGAUUAUCUUUGUAUAAUGUAAUAUUUCUCACAAUAUUUAACUUUAAUCAUUCUGGGUAAUUGAUUAAUAAUACACUAAUGAAUGUUUUGCUCCCAAUGCCAGAUCUAUAUUUAAAAUAGUUAAAUUUCCAUUUAGAGAUUCAGAUUAUAAGGGACCUCUAAAUACUACCCACAGCCCCCAAAACUAAAUUUCAAGGAUUACAUUAUUGUUAGCCUAAUUUUUAAAAAUGGUACGGCUAUGGAAUUUUUAAAACUUGACAUAACCCAGAGACACAACAUUUCAUAAUAUAUCCCUGUCUCAUCCUAUAUAGCAGGCAUGGGCAAACUUAGGCCCUUCCAGGUGUUUUGGACUUCAACUCCCACAAUUCCUAACAGCCUGCCAGCUGUUAGGAAUUGUAGGAAUUGAAGUUCAAAACACCUGGAGGGCUGAAGGUUUGCACAUGCCUGCUAUAUACCCUGAACUGGUUCUGUCAUGUAGAUCUUAAAUUACAGUCUGAAAUUUCAUUGCUUAAUUGAUAAAGCCAAGGCCUAUAUUUUUAUUGCUGAUAAAUAACCUGAUUAAUAGUCAAUAUUUUGACACAAUCUGUUCUAGGUGAUCUACGAAUUCCCUUUCUACUGGCUAUAAGGAAAAUACAGGAUUGACUGAAUUGUUUGCAUUCAGGAUUGAGCAUUGAGUUAAAAUCAUUACACAUGGAAAUGAAACCCCUGUGAAUUCAGAAUUCGAGUUGCAGUUGCCUGAUAAAUUCAGUGAAUUUCCUUUUUUUUCUACAUUAUUUGCCAUAAGAGAGUGCAUCAAAGGUGUUCAGCAAAAAUAAACUACUGUAGUUAUCUGAGAAGAGAAGAGGCAGUGCUUUUUUGCCCAACAAUAUCAAGUUUGCUUUCUCUGUGAUCAGUACAUUACAAAGCUAGCAAAGAAUAAUUUGUAUCAGAGGUUCUGUGACGGAAUGAAAUGGAGCUCUUUUGAAGUAUGAUCUCUGAAAGCACAGCAUGAAGCUUAAAUAAAGUGAAGGACAUUUGCUAUUACAAGUAAUGUCCUUAAUAAUCUUGUUAGUCUAGUCUCCCUCUGUACGAGACAAAUGGAACAUUAUUGGCUUAUGGACUGUAGUAAAUAAUUUAGUUUCCAAUAUUCAGGCUGCUUUGACAGUAAAUUAAAAUGACAUGAAAGGGGCUUGUUGAAUAAGGAAAGUAUCCAAUCAAAUUUAAUUGGCAUGACUAAGGCAGUAGAAAUAUGUUUUAUAAUUAAACCAUGUUGUCUUGGAGCUUUAUAAGCAUGUAUGAAUCAAAUGUCAAAAAUUAUUCUUUGAUAUUGUGCAUUUGAAAACUUUGUAUGGUAAAUAGUUUUCUUAAACAAGAUUGUACACAUGCAUAUUGAUGCAGUACCAAAAUAAUCGUCGUUUUGUUAAAGUUCAAUAUCUCAUUUUAAUGUUAUCAACAAGUCUGGAAAUAGAGUCUAGAAUUUCUCAAAACUAAUUUUGUACCCAUAUGACAUUCUUUUCUAAAAAUUGGACUUCAAACUGAUCCUAUAGAAAUUACUUAUGUAUUUCAAGUGUAAAGUACCAAUGAAUCUGUACCUUUUAUGUCCUUCAUAAACUGGGGACCAAGCUGUUCAGCAUCUUUUUAGCAGGUGGAAAUAGAAACUAAGAAAAGGGAAUGAGGACAUCCAUAGAAAUGUGUGUUUCUCAAUAUGUGUCUAGAUUUGGUUACCUGCAAAGUUAAUAGAGUAGUAUAACCAAUUUCUUUCAUUCUAUUACUUCCAUUGUCUUUGUUGUAAGCCAAACUUACAGAAACUCAGAAUAAUUUCCAAAUGUGCUGUAAGAUCCUGAUACUUUCCCACUUUUUGAAUUAGCCAUGCAUAUUUUGUCUCUGCAUCCAGGCUGUAAAGCAAAGUGGAUGGCAACAAGGCUAGAUGGAUCAAUGGUCUAAGUAUAAGAAAGCUUCUUAUUUUAUAGGCCUUUCAGUUUCUUGAAUGAUCACGGCACUUUUAUUUUGCAUAAGAUAUUUAGGAUAAUUGGUAUAAUUAUUUGGACAAUAAAUCCUAUAAUCCAUUUUGAGUCCCUAGGAUUAUUUCUGAUAUAAUCAGAGUAAGGAAAUAGAUGCCAAAUAAGAAUCUUAAGGGCUGCUGUGUGUUUUUUGGACUGUAUGGCCAUGUUCCAGAAGUAUUCUCUCCUGACGUUUCGCCCACAUCUAUGGCAGGCAUCCUGAUUGGUUGUGAGGUAUAUGGGAAAACUAAGCAAGGGAGGUUUAUAUAUCUGUGGAAGGUCCAGGGUGAGAGAAAGAACUCUUGUCAGUGGAGGCCAGUGUGAAUGUUGUAAUUAAUCACCUUGAUUAGCAUUGAAUAGCCUAGCAAGCUUCAUCUCCUGGCUUCUUCCUGCCUGGGGGAAUCCUUUGUUCAGAGCCAUUAGCUGCCCCUGAUUGAUUCUUCCGGCAGACAAGGGGAAUGCCACAGUAAUAAUGGAAACAGAACAAUACAAAGAAAAGAUCAGACAACUUCUGGAUCCCACAAUAUAUAAAAAACUAAAACAAGACCCUACCAACAAAAUCACCAGAAAGACUAACACUCUGAUCAAGAACUCCUCCAUUAACCUCAACAUAUGGCAACAACUGUGCAAAUCGGAAGCCCUUCCACCUAGGCUCUAUGAACUCCCAAAAAUCCAUAAGAACUCCACCCCACUCAGACCUAUUGUGAGUGCCAUUGGAUCCCCCACAUACAACCUGGCUAAAUUUCUGUCUGCACAGCUACAAACCCAUAUUAGGCUCAGCAUGCACUACAUCGAGGACUCAACACACUUCAUAGAAAAAAAUCAGCAACCUCAAACUAAACACGAAGGACAUACUGAUCAGCUUCGAUGUGGUGUCCCUAUUUACCAAGGUCCUGAUAAUGAACACCAUUGCACUAAUCACACAGAUUUUUCCAGUAGACAUCACAUCCCUGUUUCACCAUUGCCUCAUCACAAGCUGUUUUCAGUGGGACAGUGAAUUCUAUGAACAGAAAGAUGGAGUAGCCAUGGGGAGCCCUCUCAGCCCAGUAAUAGCAAAUAUCUAUAUGGAACAGUUUGAAAAACAAACCCUAGAAACAGCACCAAAAAGCCUACUAUAUAGUUCAGAUAUGUGGAUGACACCUUCACCAUUUGGAGCCAUGGAGAAGAAGAACUCAUCAAGUUCCUGGACCAUCUCAGCAGCAUCCAUCCAAUUCACCAUGGAAAAAGAAAACAAAGGAAAACUGCCAUUUCUAGAUGUUCUAGUCAUUUGCAAACCCAAUCAACAAUUGGGCCACACUGUUUACAGAAAGCCUACACACACGGAUAGAUACCUUCAUAAAAACUUCAACCAUCACCCAAGUCAAAAAAAGAAGCACAAUUAAAGCCCUGGCAGACUGUGCACAAAGAAUUUCCGAACCAAACCUCCUCCAAGGUGAACUAAACCACCUAAACUGGGCUCUACAAGCCAAUGGAUAUUCUACCACAGACAUCAGAAGAGCUGCAAGGCCAAGAACAAGCCAUGACAGUAAAGACAAAGAUCUACCCAGAGGAGAGGUGUUUUUUCCAUACAUCAAAGGAAUCACUGAUCACAUAGGCAAGCUGAUGAAGAAACACAACCUACAAACUAUCUACAAACCUAAGAAAAUCCAACAAAUGCUACGUUAAGUGAAGGACAAGAGGGAUCCUUUCAUCUCUGCAGGGGUCUACUGUAUACCAUGCAGCUGUGGACAAGUCUACAUAGGGACCACCAAACGCAGAGCCCUAACACGCAUCAAGGAACAUGAAAGGCACUGCAGACUAAUUCAACCAAAGAAAUCAUACAUAGCAGAGCACUUGAUGAACCAGCCUGGACACAGCAUAUUAUUUGAGAACACAGAAAUGCUGGACCACUCUAACAACUAUCAUAUCAGGCUACACAGAGAAGCCAUUGAAAUCCACAAGCAUGUGGAUAAUUUCAACAGAAAGGAGGAAACAACAAAAAUAAACAAAAUGUGGCUACCAGUAUUAAAAAAAAACUCUAAAAUCAGAACAGUAAAUAAGGAGCAACACUCUAAAAACAGAGGAAUUCCAGACAUGAAUCAAUCAGGGGCAGCUAAUGACUCUGAACAAAGGACUCCCCCAGGCAGGAAGAAGCUAGGAGAUGAAGCUUACUAGGCUAUUCAAUGCUAAUCAAGGUGAUUAAUUACAACAUUCACACUGGCCUCCACUGACAAGUGUUCUUUCUCCCACUCUGGACCUUCCACAGAUAUAUAAACUUCCCUUGCUUAGGUUUCCCAUAUACAUCACAACCUAUGAGGAUGCCUACCAUAGAUGUGGGCAAAACGUCAGGAGAGAAUACUUCUGGAACAUGGCCAUACAGCCUGAAAAACACACAGCAACCCAGUGAUUCUGGCCAUGAAAGCCUUCGACAACACAAGAAUCUUGAAGUUAUUACAAACAUAUUAACCAUGAUAAUAUUUUUUUCAACAUGUGAUGAAGUAGCUAUAUUCUGACAUAAUAAAAUAUUGAUUCCUUUUGUGAUUGUGCAGAAUUCUCCUUUAGAUUGAUUAAUUAUGCCUGCUAUACUUGCUUUAUACAACAGAAUUGAGACUUAUGCUGAUGUAUGCUUUUUCAGAUAGGAAUAGUGGCACAUAUUUACGAGUAAAUGUACACAGGAUGGUAGGACUUACUUAUAAGUAAACAUAUAAGAUCAUAGUUUUUAAAAAAUCAUGAUAUUAAAAUCUUGCAACACAAUCAAGUACAGAGUUAAAUAUAUCUAAGAUAUUUUAUUUUAAUGCAUUUAAAGUCUGCCUUAAACUGUUGGCACUAGGUGAUGCCACUAAUAGGUUUUAUUUCUAUCCCAUUUACAGUAUGUAAAUGUUCAGCAUCUCUCUUGAGAACCAUAGUAUUCCCACAGUAUCCAUUUCCCUUCUUAACUUCACCACAAGCAGCAACUACAGGAAGUUUGAAAUCGUCUUGUGGUUUGGCAUCAGUAACUACAACAAAAAUCUGAAUUUCCCAGUGUCUAUAAAUUAUACUGUGUGCAUUCAUAAUGGCUGUACAAUGUUUCAGACUCUAUAUGUCUCUGGCUAUGACUCUGAUGUAGAGGGAAUCUCUUUGGAAGCUUCUGCCUCAGAGCAGUGAGAGCUCCAGUCUGGUUGCAGUCCUCAAGCACCUUUCCUCAUUGGCAUUUAUUACUGAGCAGAAACUGUAUAUACGAGGAUAGCCAGGGGCCACCUUUUCCUCAAUUAAAAUGCAAAGAUUGUUUGCAGCAAGUAUUACUACUGUAGUUCAAAACUGACUUAAGCAUUUGUGGCCUUAAUUUUCCAUUUCCCAAGUGUGAACUGCACAUUUUUCCAAAGCACACCAUUACAUGGUUCAUUAGACUGGUGUCCUGUAAUUUCCACAGUUUUUUAAUAGCUAAGUUUUUUUAAAGAUUAGAAGUAUAUUCAUUUGUUUGUUUGUUUUUAUUUGUUACAUGUUAAUUCUGCUGUUUCUCCAAGAAAUUAAACAAGGUUCUAUGUAGCUCAGGACUAGAUUAUAUGAAGGACUGCAUUCACCUGUUAGGGUCUCCUUUUGUCUUGAGAUCUUCUGCGAAGGCCCUUCUAACUGUCCCAUCGUCCUUAAAAAUCUAUCUGGCAGAAAAACAAGAGAGAGUCUUCCAGGGGAGGUUAGACUGGUAGUCUGCUCUCUAUUCUUUUUUGGGCAACUAAAGAUACUUUCAUUUUGUCAAGCCUUUGAGGGCUUGACUCUUCAUAGGGCUGUGUUUUUUGAAUUUGUUGUUCUUUCCUCUAAUGGUUUGAUUUUAACUGCUUAAAUUUUUACCAAUAUUUUUAUUACAUAUUUAAUUUGUUUAAGUUAUUUCAGGUGAGGAUAAGGGGGAUUAUUGCUGUGUUGUUGUUUUCAUCCCUCAACAAACAUGAUCUGCACAACACCCUGAGAAGUAAUGGAUAGAGGGACUGGCUCAGUCUGUGUUUCAUGGCUGAGGAAGAACUACUAUUCAAAAUUGUCACCUUAAUUUCUCUAUAGAGAAGGUUGUAGAGGGAGCCGUCAUUAAAAGUGGCUGCUGUUGCUCUGUUCCAUCUCCAGACACCUUAAAAUUGUUCCCCCUCAUAGCUCUUGAACUGCAUUCAGAUUGAAAAAGGUGAGGGCAAGGGAGGGAUAAUAGUGUGGGAGCUUCCCGCUGUUGUUUCUUCUCAUUGUCUUCAUGUUGGGUUUCAACUGCAAGCAUUGGCUGAUGUAUAAAUCACUUAAUGCUUUAGGGACAUUUUUUUGUAAAAAAAACUUUUUUGACUUAUGUGGCAUGUUUAAGCUUGGAUCCAACCUGAUAUUUGCACAAAUGUUCAUGAACAAAGUUUCAGAGUUCAUCCAAUUGUUAGUUCCAACUGGAAAAAUCCAUUGAAACUAAGGGAAUUUAGUGUGUCACACUUGAAUUCAGCACAUAUUUAUCAAUGGACCUGAUAAAGUGUUGAUUUGACAAAUUGCCUUCGAUUUAUUAGGCUUACUUUAGAUCUGUGGUUCUCAACCUGUGUGUCCACAGGUGUUUUGGCUUACAACUCCCAGAAAUCCCAGUCAGUUUACCAACUGUUAGGAUUUUCUGGGGUUUGAAGGCCAAAACGUCUAGGGACCCACAGGUUGAGCACCACUGCUCGAGAUGGGACAAAGACUUGGAUUUAGACACUAUUGUUUAUUCUGUUCAGGGAAUCCCUUCCAUAUCUACCCCAUGAUGACAACAAAUGGCAGAUCCUCAUAGAACAAAAAAAAAACUACCUUAAAACAAGAGGCAUAGGAUAGGUAUUUGCAGUUAUAUUUUCACAUCCUGAUUCUAUUAACUCUGGUGCAGUCUGUGUCAAGAGUAUCAUUUCUAUUUUGCUUAUGAACUCUGCGUCCUGUCAAUACAAAGGAGACCUGAGAGCACUAGUGCAUGAAAUAUGCCCAUAUAAGAUGGAUUUUUACAGAACAAAAUUCAUCGCAAUAGUGUUGCUUACCUUUUCACAAUGACACUUAUUAGAAUGAAAGAGAAUCAUAAGAGCUGAUCUUUGUAUUUGUUUGUUGGUAAGGUCUAUUUUGUUCAGAAUAUAUAUUUAUAUACUCCAUCUUUAUUUAACUGUGAUCCCAUUAUACUAUACAGUAAUCUUUAAUUUUUCGCAGAGUUUGGACAUGUGAUUGAAACUGGGAGAUUUGGUUGCUACUCAAAUGUUACAACUGCAUAAAGCUCUUUCAAAUUAUUCUUUUAGAUUCCUUUGUUCCUCAUUUUUAUACAUAAUAAGGCUAUUCAAAAUCUAUAGAUUUUGUCCUUUCUGUUGUUUUAUUUCAAACAAAAAUGAAUACAAAAAUAGCAGAUUUUAAAAGCUCUUAUAUGAGCUCAGGAGAGUCUUUGCUGCAAUAUCUAACUGAAAAGGUAAUGAACUGUAAAAUAAGUUGAAAUGAUUGGGGAUUAAAAAUCUCUGGUGUGUAGUGACAGUACAAUCAUAUUCCACAGGAAAGGUUUCUUGUAUUAAUGGUAAUAAAUAAAACUUAUUUUUGUCACCAUGAUUGGUUUUCACCACCAUAAUGACAGGUUUGACCUUCUUUCUCUUCAGAAGUUGGAAAUCUGUGACCAAAUAGUUGGAAGACUGGGGAGAGCUUGGAAAUUGUACAUUCAGAAAAGAUUAGAUGCAUGUUCAUAAAAAGCCAACUUGUGGGAAUUUCUGAGGAAUUAGUUCAAUAAAUAAAUAAAUAUACUUAGCAUUUUCCAAACCAUAAGGUAUAUAAACAUUCAUCAGACAUUUAGGAGUGACAUUGUAGGUCAUUAAUAAAACAUUUUUUAUCCUGUUUUCCUCAAAAUAAGACAGGGACUUAUAUUAAAUUUUGCUCCAAAAGAUACUUUAGAUCUUGUUUUGAAUGGCAGCCUUGUUUUUCCAAAUUGACUUUGUAAAUGAACUAGAUCUAGGGCUAAUUUUUGAGCAUCCUCAGAAAAGCUGAAAAAUCAUGAUAGGUCUUAUUUUCGGGGUAGGUCUUAUUUUUGAGGAAACAGGGUAUUUAGAAAGCUCUUCAUUCAGUCUCAAAAAGCUGAUUAAAAUGGUAUUAGGUAGAAAGACAAGCAGCGAUCCUUUGCCUAAAGCCUUGGAAAAUUGUUGUAAUCCAGAAUAGAUCACCUUGAACUAUUGAAGCUCCUUUUGGUUCAAUAUAAAGUUGACUGAUUUGCUCUUUCGCUUUCUACCCUGACUUUUUCUCCAUAUCUCAAAAUAAGACACAAGGAGGCUAGUAAACAAAUACAGUUUAAAACAAUUUUAUUAAAAUCUCAAUCUUAAAAACAAUAAAAAUCAUAUGUAAAAAAGGCAGUUCCCAGCCAGAUUACAAAUCUCUUUUAUUGCAAUCUAGUUAAGCCUGCUUGAAUAUAAAAGGGCUUUGCUUGCCUGCAGGAGGACAAAAGAAAGUAUUUUGGAUAAAUUGAUGUUUCCAGAUGUAUUUCACAGGAAGACUUUUAUUUUGACAGUAGUCCAAAUGGGAGAUAAUUAAGACAUGCAUUACUGUGGCCAGAUCACACAUCUUUGGGAGUAGGUGAAUUUGGUAUACUGACCAAAGGCACUAUUUAGGGUUGAAUCCAAGAGUGUGAACUCAAGUUCGUGCCAAAGUACAAACAAACAGUAUGGCAAAAAAAAAAAAAAAAGGAUUUCUAGAGGUCUACUGGAGGAUGCAUAAGCCAGAUAUACUCAAAACAGAUGGAGACUCAUCAAGUUUAGGAUCUGGAGCUGCUACAAUUAGCCCUCUAUAUCCGUGGAUUUUGUACCCACAGAUUUAACCAUCCAUUGUUUGAAAAUACACUCCCCCCCAAAAAAAAAACAAAUUUCAAAAAGCAAAAGUUGAUUUUGUCAUUUUAUAUAAGGGACACCAUUUUAUUAUGCCAUUGUCUAUACUGGGACUUGAGCAUCCAUAGAUUUUGGUGUCCACAGGGAGUCCUAGCAGAUAGCAAAGGCCCACUGUAUUUUCUGUGCCUUUGAAACCAUUGUGAGAGAAAAUGAACUGAAAAUCUUGCACCAACUAAAGGUAGAUGAGGGUGCACACACAUUAUCCAAUGCAGCCAGACUGAGGCUGGCAGAACUUCUGAAGCAAUGCUUCCUCAAAACAGCUCUUCUUCCAGAAAGUGUCCAUCCCACCACCUGGUAGUAGUACUCUAAUAUUGGUAUGUUGUACACUGGGUUAAUGGGUACUGAUCAGGGCUGUAGCCAGAAAAAAAUUCUGGGGCAUGGGGGGUUGAUACCUUUUUAAAGCAAAUCAUGAAGAGAAGUUCAAUAACACAAAAACCUGAAAAAUGUUUUAAACCUGAAAACUUUCAGGUGGGGUGGGGUUGAACCCCUAAACCCCCUCUUGGCUACAGCCCUGGUACUGAUGUUCACUCAAAGAACAGAAUAACAGAAUGAGGCAACAAUAUAACAUUUAUUUUUUUACAUGUUUUGUGAAUACUCACAAAAGGCCAAUUUAUCAUUCAUUUCUGGACUAACUAGUUGGUACCUACCUUUAAAAAACUAUGGUCCUGAAUUUUAAUUUUAUUUUAGGAUACACAAAAAUGUGAAGGAUACAAAAUGCUGAAUUUCUAAAAGGAUGGGUAGUGACUAUCCACAAGUACAUACUUUGUGUAAUUUAUAUAUUUUUUUCUAACAAUACAAGUCUGGCAUAGGAAGUCAGAUAAGUAGAUAGAUGUUUUCCUGACCUGUAGGGCUUUCUAUUGUGUAUCCCUUGCAUGAGGCAAUUAAGAUUUUCACUUUUUCUGAAGAUUAGUGCCCGUCAUUUUACAGUGUACUCAAUUUUUUGUACUUUACAGAGCAAACAAUAAACCUUCCAUCAUAAACUUGCAGUACGUAAGGCUCAACAGUAUAUCAGCAUUUUCCUUUAAUGGAAUAAUAGCAAGGGAGACAUAGAUAAAUGCUUACUAUUAUUUUUAGAAAUUGUAUUUCUAUAUGGUUGAGAAAUACUAAUAUGCAGAUGCAAAAAACUAACCAGCACCAUGUUAAACUUUUAAACAAAUCCACUAUAAGCUCAAAGCGCUUCCAUUAUUUUAUUUACUGUCCAAAUGAAAGGUAACAUUAAUUAGACUUAGCAAGAGAUCAUUUUUAAAUGUUCGGAUCUCAUGAGAUUUCAAGGCUAGAAAUGCCUUCAGUGUAUAGUAACUUUUGAUUAGGGUCUGGGAAGGUGGAUAAUGAAAAAAGCGAAACAUUGAAAUUUGCCUAAAUAACAUGCUGUUACAAGCCUUAUGAUAGAUAUGUGUUUGACUUAACAGCUUUUGGAACCUAAUAAAAAGAACUUAAUUGACAAUUUCUUGAAAUUGCUAAGAAAACCUAGUGAUGUUGGUAGGGUAUAAUAAGCAGCUUCUCAUCACUGUCUUCAAGAUUGAGUCUAUACAAAAAAAAGGAUUUAUCUCUGUGGUAACUCUAAGUAAUUGAUAUACAGACAAGGUUUGGUUCCAAUUUGCCAGCAAUAAAGUUGUAAUAGGGUUUUCUCUGCAAUUUUAGCCUUAAUGUGCUCAUUCCAAAGAGCGGUAUUUUUCCAAGCGAACAAAUAACAUCAGUAAAGCUUACGAUCAGUAAUAGCCCCACACUGAUGCUCACAUUAAACUUGUUAAAUCAAUUCACUAGACACUUUCUAAAGUGGACUGUCUGUUUACUUUGACAUGUACCUUGUGACGAUAAGACCAUCAGUUACACUUAUCAGAAUUAUCUUUACAUGUGAAACUCAUAAUUAAUUCAUGUUUGGUUGUGAUCACAAACCUGGUUCCUAAUAUCUAAGCUUUAUUUUUCUUACCUUUUUUUUUCAGGACCAAGCAUUUUUGAAAACAAGGCACAGUAUGUUGUAUGUCUGGUGUUGUCUAAAUCCUAAAUGAGUACUUUGCUGCAUAAUUAUGGUAGCUUCACCUAGUUAUAGCGUCAGUAUUAUUGUUUAUUGUAGGUGCCACCAGAUAUGCUGCUUUGUUCUUCUAGGAUAAAAAUUAACAUAUAAAUAAUGUAGGAUUACAGUGUUUUGAAAUAAUUAGCAAAAUGUGAUUGGUACUAAAUGAGGAUUUAUUAAAUAUGCAAUUUAUCUGGAAUUUCUGCAUAAAAUAUUAACUUGUAGAAAGUCUACAGUUGAAUGCAUGGUAUCAAAAUUUAGACAGCAAAUAUAAUAGGCCAGUCCAAUGAUGUUGCUCUGUUUCUGGCUGUUACGACUGUAUAAUGUUGUGAAAGCCCAUGCACUUCCAUCAGUAAAGUAGAAAGUACAAACAAUGGUAAUAUUAACAAAAGAUAAUGUAAGAAUAGGUCUGACCCUAUCUAUCAUAAUCUAUCAUUUACAGCUUUGCACACUUUCAGUCUCCUUCUUAAAAUCAGGUGCAGAAGAUAAUGACAGACAAUAUGAUCAUGUUACCAAAAUUCUUCCACACCUCCUUCUAUAUAAGAAAUCAAGGAAUGAGCACACUGACUGCCCACAGUACUUCUUUCAUAAUAGUGAUUCAUGGGCUAAUAAUGUUUACCACUAACUUCAAUGGUUGGAAGAACUAGGACUCCAUUAAGAUAGGUAUCCAAAUGACAGCCCAAAUCAGCUGUAGUACUAUUAUAGUGCCAUAAAAAAGGAAGCAGUAUCAUUCCAAUUACAACAACCAGCUAAUUCAUGGACCUAGAGGUAAGAAUGUCACCUAUAAUAAACUUCAGCAAGAGUUACUCUCUACAGUGCCCUCCACAUUUUGCAGAACUGAUUUCGUUUUGGAUUUUGGAUACACUGGCUUCGGCUGAACUUGUACUUUCCUGAGACUUUUGAAAUGUGCUGUAUAACCUUAUAUGCAUGUUACAGCAUACAUUGCUGGUGUAUGUUUUGUGGAGUCUAAGACACCCAAGACUGCCUCCACUCCUUCCCAAAACCCCUUUUAAAAAGCUUUUAAAAAAGGAAAAUAACUCACCCAGCAGCCAUUUUCCCUUCUCUGGAGCUCUUCUGGUUUGUACCAAUGAUGCACCAAGGGCCAGGAGCGAUUUUCCUCCCCCCCCUUCCCUCGGUGCAUAGUUGGUACGAGCCAGAAGAGCUCCUGUGCCCUGCUAGUAAGCCCGACAGAGCAUCUGGGACCCCCCCCCCCCAGAAAAGCACAUGCUUUCUGGGGGGGGGGGGGUGGACUAAAACUCAGGAACAAUCACAUUUUUAAAAAGCAAUUGCUCCCAUGUUAAAGGGCUGUGUGGAAUCGCCCUAAGAGGAAGGAAAGUCUAAUGAUGAAGAACAAGACUACAGUAAUGUUCCCCUCCUUUGAUUUUCUGUUGUCUUAGAAAAUCCCAGGAAAAUAUUUGGACUGGUUACUGCCUGUAGGAAUAACUAAGCAUUAGAAACUUAACCAUGGGAAGCAAAGGUUAAUUGAUUAAUUGUUCUAUCCAGAAAAAAUGAAAAUGCCUCAUGCUGAGCUACGUAUAUUAGGGCUGGGUAGCUGUCCAGCUAGCUAGUGUGAAUAGUCUAAUUUCCAUUCCUGGAGAGCUUUCAACUACACGAACAAAAUAGAAAGGAAGGAAGGAAGGAAGGAAGGAAGGAAGGAAGGAAGGAAGGAAGGAAGGAAGGAAGGAAGGAAGCAAGCAAGCAUUAUAUUUAUGAGUAUAGUACAUGCUUUAAAACAGUAAAGAAUUGCUUGAGGUAGACAUAUUAGAUCAUCUUUUUAUUUCACACUUCAGUAAUAAGCAAGCACCCACCCUGAUCUGCUACUGAUGAUAAUCACAGGAAAAACAAACACUUAUUUCUUACUGCAGGCAAACAAACAUGCUUAUUUAUUUCUAUAUGGCUAGAGAACAAAAAAGAAAUUGAAGUUCAAAAGCAGAACAAAGGAAAGUCCAAGGGGUGGAAAAACCCUGGUGCAUAGUACAGAAUUUUAACAUACAACCUUUCAAUAGUCAUGGUACCAUGUACCAUGUGUGUUUUUUAAAAAAUAUACUUAGGAUGAAAGUGAUCAUGCAAAAUCCACUUGUUGGGGAUUUGCCCCCCCUCAAAUGGGACAUUAUUCAUUUCUUGAAUUUUAUUUAUUUUCAUACGGUCUUUAGUCUUAUAAUGUGUUCAUAAAACAAGCCAUUGUUGUUUAACUGGACGUAGCCACUGCCUGUCAUAUAGCAUUCUAAGAAUUCUCAUACUUUCCCUCAUCCUCAGGAAGAAAAGUAUGGCAACGUAUUAAGAAAAGGAACUUUCUUGAGAAAGUGACCUGUGAACUUUGUACUUUGGCAAAUUUUAAAAUGGAAAAUUUGGUGCUACAAACCACUCUCCCCUAAAAACAGAUGAAAAAGGGCAAAGAUUGUGGCACUUUGUGCUCCAGUCAUUUUAUGCAAAAAAAAAAAUUCAAAUCCUGAAACAAAUAAUGGCAAAUUUUCCUGCUAUAUAUGUGUGCAUUUGUUUUUUCUUUUUUCUUUUCUUUUCUUUUUUCUUUUCCUCCCUGAAUAUCUAUUUUAUUAGAUUGUUUGUGUUAAAAAUUAAUAAAUGUGAUGCAAUGUCCUUACCACCAAGUGAAAAUAGGAAUUCCAGCAAAAAAAUUAAACCUGGGAAUUGAUAAAAAUAAAAGUUAUAUAAAAACAGGAAAAAUGGAGACCCAUUUGGUUAACCACUUUUUGUGCUUAGCAAGCAAGUGAAGUUCUGGUAUCUGUUGGAAGAUAUUCCUAAGAAGGAUUUCAUGUUUACUUGAAGCACCAAAACUUUAAAAAUGUGAUGGUAUGUGUAAGUGCAAUAUAUACGAAAUUAGGAGACUAAGUCAGUUAUUUUGUAGAGGCAAUGUAGGCCAAACAUACAUAGUUCCACUUGCACAAGAUGCUGUUUCAAUGCAGUGAAAUGCAUGUUGGAGUUGUGCUGAUUUUAUUCCAAAUUGAUGUGUUCCUAACUGACUGUGUUUCAAAUGUAUUUGUUGUGUUGGCAUUCAUGCAGUGUCAGGAUGUGAUCGCCCAGCAUUCACACUAGCUGAACUAUUCCCAUCCUGCCAAAAGCCAUUGGGGUGGAGAUAACCUAACUGAUAAGAACCAUUUGGCUAGGAGGAUUGAUUUAUGACCAUGAUCUUGUUUUCAAGCCUGGGAAAGGAUUAUCGACAGACAAGUGUGAAUGUGGAAGGGGGGCUGGGGGGAAGUAGUAGCUUGAUAUGCUAGGGUCCGGGCGGAAGUUGAUUAGUAACAGCUUUGUGCUCGUCUUCGAAAGAAGGUUUUCAAUAAAGCGUUUCCACGGAACUACCUGAGUGAGCAUUCAUUGUGACCUAUAGCUUCCAAGGACUGACAUGCAGCCCAUAAAGCAUGAAUCAGCAAAGAAAUUGAGAACAGCAUUACAUGUAAUUGUCCUAUGCAGAGACGGUUCAACCGAGAGGCAAUAUAGUCAUUUGCCUGUGGCGUCGCCCUCCUGAGGGCGCCCUCGAGUCCCCCGGAGGAUGGCACCACCCCCCACCUCCUUCCCCUUCGGGAAGGCCCAGGCAGGCCGCAGCAGCAAGGCCAGCUAAAUCACGGUCCUCUUUCAGGACGUGGCGCCCAGAUAAUUAAGAAAGGGAUGGCAGGAAUGAGGUAUAUGACAGACUGAGAAAAUGAUUGGAACAUGAAUGCUGAAAUUCCAUUGUUACUUAGAAGGUAAGUGACCAAUUUCUUCUUGUUAAUUUUGCUAGUGAAUUGCUCACAUACGUAUCUAGUUUAUGAUAGACAUUCUUACUCUUAGGUGAUCCCUCAUAGCUCGAGGAUUAUUGUCCUCCAUCUCUGGUGUCUUGGGGGUAGGUUCUUAGGUGGCUGAAGAGACCUAUAUAUUCUCCCGCAGUGAGGACAUCGGUUUCCAGGUAGAAGGCAGUCCCGGUCGGGGUUAGCUUGACGCUCCUUCCUCUUGGCACGUUUCUCCCUUAAGCCCUCCGUUUGUGUCUCUUUGAACUCCGCAGCACUGCUGGUCACAGCUGACCUCCAAUUACAGCGCUCAAGGGCCAGGGCUUCCCAGUUCUCAGUGUCUAUGCCACUCCAGCGGAGUUGAUGGCAUUACUGAUGGCUAAACAACUGGAUCAGCUUAGUUUCAACUACUGUGAUUCAAAUUAGUCACCAAAGCAAAUUGCAAAUUAUUGGCAACAGGGAUCAAAUAAGGAAGUACCAAUGGUAACAGCUGUUCUUUGAAGAUCAGAUUUUAUAUACCAGUCCUAAAUGGAUCCUGUCACCAUUUUAUUGUGAAAGGAGGAGGAGGAGGAGGAGGAGGAGGAGGAGGAGGAGGAGGAGGGGAAGAAGAAGAAGAAGAAGAAGAAGAAGAGGAGGAGGAGGAGGAGGAGGAGGAAGAAGAACAACAACUGCAACAACAACAACAACAACAACAACAACAACAACAACAACAACAACAACAACUUUUUUGUACCCCUGCCUCCAUCUCCCUGAAGGGACUUGGGGCAGAUUACAUAUGGUGCCUAAAACAAUGCAUAAAAUAAACAUACAGUACAAUACAAAAUAAAACCAGUAGUAUUAAAACAACAA